rnacentral:rRNA from 1 species
AGCGAACGCUGGCGGCAGGCCUAACACAUGCAAGUCGAACGAAGUCUUCGGACUUAGUGGCGGACGGGUGAGUAACACGUGGGAACGUGCCUUUAGGUUCGGAUUAACUCAGGGAAACUUGUGCUAAUACCGAAUGUGCCCUUCGGGGGAAAGAUUUAUCGCUUUUAGAGCGGCCCGCGUCUGUUUAGCUAGUUGGGGAGUUAAAGGCUCACCAAGGCGACGAUCAGUAGCUGGUCUGAGAGGAUGAUCAGCCACAUUGGGACUGAGACACGGCCCAAACUCCUACGGGAGGCAGCAGUGGGGAAUCUUGCGCAAUGGGCGAAAGCCUGACGCAGCCAUGCCGCGUGAAUGAUGAAGGUCUUAGGAUUGUAAAAUUCUUUCACCGGGGACGAUAAUGACGGUACCCGGAGAAGAAGCCCCGGCUAACUUCGUGCCAGCCGCCGCAGUAAUAC